rnacentral:rRNA from 1 species
GGAGCCUGGUGGGUGGUCACCAAAUAUGUCGAAGAACACAACCAUGAUCUAAUAAAGAAGUUUGACCUAGUAAGAUUUUUGAGCGCCCAUAGAGGAUUCAGUCCUCACGAGAAGGAAUUCAUAAAGUUGCUACAUGAUUGCAACAUCGGUCCAUCAAGAAUGGUCCAGAUACUAUCCAUGAUCCAUAGCAAAAAUGGAAGUGUGAGUAGCAUGCCGUACAUAGCAGUAGAUGUCAAAAACCUAAAGGCAAAGUACCAUAGAGAGAGCAGGUUGGCUGACAUAGAAGACACUAUCGCCUACUUCAAAGAGAAAUCAAAAGUAGAUCCUGAUUUCUUCUACAGGAUAAGAUUGGACGAUGAGGACCGUGUCAGAAACAUGUAUUGGAUGGAUGGUGCGGCAAGAAGAGCCUACAAACAUUUGCGUGAUUGCGUUUCUUUCGACGUGGCAUAUCUCACAAAUACGUACAAGAUGCCCCGUGCUCCAUUCAUAGGAAUAAAUAACCACAAUACUGAUGGUUACACUUGGCUGUUCAAAACCUUCUUGGAGUGCAUGGGCGUACUUGCUCCUAUGAACAUAAUAACGGACCAGGACUUUAGCAUGUGUACAGGCAUAGAGGAGGUCUUUCCAUUGGCAGUGCACAGGAACUGCAGGUGGCAUAUUAUUAAGAAGGCUGAAGAGACGCUAGGACCAUUUUUGCAUACUACGCAACUCAGCGAGGGUUUCAAUGCUGUUUUGAAGCGUUACGACGGGAUUGUGUGCUGCCACAUACUCAAAAUAAUGGAGAUGGACGCGGUCAUGCAUUUUCCCCGCCAUUUCAUACGAAGGUGAUGGACUUGGGACGUCGACGAUGUGUUGGGGCCACAAACAUCAAAUGCAGUUUUGGUUGUACAUGAUGACAGACCGGAGGCAACCAUGGACUCCGUGAGGCACAUCAUAUUGACCAAGAACUAUGCUGAACUAAUAGAUGAAGUAUGCAAGAGUGAUGAGACAGCAAGGGUGGCAGAAAAGCAUAGGAAGGCCCUAAAAAGAGAGCUUGAUGAGAUCAAGAAGAGGAAGGCUGAAGAAGCCUUGCACAGAUUCCCCCGCACUUCAAAUGCGCCUUCAUCCAUGGGUAUGUCCUCUAAAAACUCGGAGGUAGGGUCUGGAACAGCAACCACGCAAACUCAGGCUAGGAACCCGUCCCGUUCCAUCACAAAAGGGCGUCCAAAAGAGGUGAGAUAUAAAUCAGGGUUAGAAAUUCAAGCAAAGAACAAGAAACCAAGGAAAUGA